rnacentral:rRNA from 1 species
AGUGAGUGGCGGACGGGUGAGUAACGCGUGGGAAUCUACCCUUUGGUGGAGGAUAGCCUCGAGAAAUCGGGGGUAAUCCUGCAUAAGAUCUCCGGAUGAAAGGCCGUAACUGGCCGCCGAAGGAGGAGCCUGCGUCCUAUCAGCUUGUUGGUGAGGUAAAAGCUCCACCAAGGCUAUGACGGGUAGGGGGCGUGAGAGCGCGGUCCCCCACAAGGACACUGAUACACGGGUCCUACACCUACGGGUGGCAGCAACUAGGAAUAUUGCGCAAUGGGCGAAAGCCUGACGCAGCGACGCCGCGUGCGGGAUGAAUGCCUUCGGGUUGUAAACCGCUGUGGAGAGGGAAGAAGAUCUGACGGUACCUCUCUAGAAAGCACCUGCAAACUACGUGCCAGAAGCCUCGGUGAUACGUAGGGUGCAAGCAUUAUCCGGAUUUAUUGGGCGUAAAGAGUAUCGUAGGCGGUUUAGUAAGUGAUUGGUGAAAUCCUUUGGCUCAACCAGAGAACUGCCAGUCAUACUGCUAAACUAGAGUAAUUUCGGGGAGGCUGGAAUUUACGGUGUAGGGGUGAAAUCCGUUGAUACCGUAAGGAACACCAAGGGCGAAGGCAGGCCUCUAGGAAUUUACUGACGCUGAUGAACGAAAGCUUGGGGAGCAAACCGGAUUAGAGACCCGGGUAGUCCAAGCCGUAAACGAUGCCCACUAGAUGGUUUUGAUUUA